UUUUUUUUGCAAAGGAGUCUAAUUCAUCCUGGAACACUUCACCAAAACUAUGACAGAGAACGCUCAGCUUCCCAAGUCGCUCUUACCGACAAGGUCUGAAGCUUGGAAUGAUGUUUUGUGAAUCACCAGCCUUGUUAGAAUUAUGAUACCACCUAAUGAUCCUCCUCUGGAAUGAAGGGCCAUUCUUUUUGUGAACCAGUUUCCUUCAAACCGUCCAACUAUGGAUGUUCUGAAUCGCACAAGGAGGACUAUUACCCCGGGCCCCCCAGCCUACAAGCAUGCUGGAGCAGAGUCUCUGUCCUGUUUACUCUGUGUGCCCAGCACAGGGCACAAGGCACUAUGGGACUGAUUUAUUUAUUUGAAAGAGAGAGAAAGAAGCUCAAGUGUGCAAAUGAGGGGGGCAGGGCAGAGGGAGAGAGAAUAUCUGAGCAGACUGCCGCUGAGGAUGGAGCCCCAGGCGGUGGUGUUCCAUCUACAACCCGUGAGAUCAGGGCAAAACCAGGAGUCUGGAUGCUUAACCGACUGAGCCACCCGGGCGCUCCCAUUCUCUUUUGCUUUUUGAAAACAAAUUUUAUUUCUCUUGGAACAUGAUGUCAAAGACUGAAAUUGGAAGAAAGUGUAAGCUCAAAUCCAUGGAAAAGACAACACAGGAAACAAAUGCUGUAACCAUGGCUACUCUAGAUGCUGAAUGAAAUGGUUAUUAAGCUAAUUGGUAGAUAAUCCUGGCAUCUAUUAUCAUUUAAUAUAAUUAGUGUAUAAAUAAGGUGAUAAAAAUUAUGCUCUGUGUGAAGUUGUUCCUGAUGAUUGUUGUCUCUGUGUGCAAGUGAGAAAACUAAUAAGAAAAUGAUGAUUAUUAGUGGCAAAAAUAAUAAUAAGUAUAGGCCUUCUCUGGUUAUUCUGGCCCAAUAUGAUAUUUUUCUUCUUGCAUUGAUUAUACUUAUAUUCCUUUCCACAUAGACUGGUGUAUUGUUAUGGCUCCUUAGAACAAUUUUUUAUAUGGAUUCUUUUCUCCCCAGUAACACUGUAAACUCUUUGAUGGUAGGCAUUGAAUUCACUCCUACUAAAAGACUUUUUAUUUCUGUUAGUUGAGGUUCUGUAAGGAAUAUGAUGGAGACUGGCCAUAUUCUCUUCUUCCACAGUUAGUCCCUUUGUGCACAACUGGACUCCAUUUUACAGCCUCCUCUGCAGUUAGGAAUUGCAAUGGAAAUAGUUCUCACCAGUGGAAUGUGAGAAGUGAUGUGUCCCUACUGUGGAGUCUGAGACUUAAUUCAAUGAGCCUACCUCCUUCAGAUUCUUGUAUUUCUUCCCACCAGUUGAAAACCCAGUCCUGAGGGAGGAUUGUUGACCAAGAGUUUACAUGUUUACUCUUCAUGUGGCAGAUGAGAGAAUUUCUCUCUGGACUGAGUCUCUUUGGAAAGAGUGAUGGGUAGAUACAAUGAAAUGGCCAGAUGCCAACCCAGUCACCUCCAGUGAUGCCAGCUCCAUCAUGUGCCCAGAGUUUCCAAACAGAUCUUUGGUGCCUCAAUUCUAAAUCUAAAUAGACAGCCAAAGGUCACCAAACAUUUAAAGAAAACCUCUUAUGUGAAAAAAAGAUCACAAUGGACAGAACAAAAAGAUUUGGAUGAGUGACAAUGCAAGAAAUGGAAGAAAACAAAAAACAAAAUAAAUGAAACCCAAAACUCCAUGACUGUAGAGAGAGAAAAUACUUAUUGUAUGAAUUUUAAAAAAGUAGUUAUGGAUGUAUGGGCAUUCAGAGGGAAGAAAUUACCAUCAAAUUAAAAAACUAGGGUAGCAGAAACUCUAAGUAUUGAUUUUACGAGGAAUUAUGACGGAAUCGGGAAGAUAAAAGAAAGGGACGUGUGUACAGGGAGUGAGUAAGGUGGCAGAGGAAGGAAAGAUGGGGAGGGAUGGGGUAAAACAGCUGUUUUUCAUUAUCAACUUUGUACUAGGGACAGCUGGGUGGCUCAGUGGUUGAGUGUCUACCUUCGGCUCAGGUAGUGAUCCCGGGGUCCUGGGAUCGAGUCCCACAUCUGGCUUCCCAUGGGGAGCCUGCUUCUCCUUCUGCCUAUGUCUCUGCCUCUCUCUCUGUUUCUCUCCUGAAUAAAUAAAAUCUUAAAAAAGAACCCCAAAACUUUAUACUAAUUAUCACUUGAUAAAAAUAGAAUCAAAUUAUAUAAAAAAAGCAAAAUAAUAGGGAAAAAGAACUGUCAAGACACUUGAUUUAAACUGAAUGUUCUUAGUUGUUCUAGCACUGGAGAUAGAUAUUGCAGUUUUCUCUAAUUCAAUAGCUUUCCAAGUUGGAAGGACAGUGAGAGGCCAGGACAAAUGAGAGAUUUCCACUACCCAAGCCACAAGCUAUCUUUGGCAAACAAGAUUUAUUUAUUUAUUUCAGCUCCUUGGGGAUGAAUCAAAAGUCUUAUUCCAGAGCUCAGAUACUUCAACAUGUCCUGACCAAGGGGACAUUUGAAGAACAAGGGGAUAGUAGACACUAGAUCAGAAAUCCUAGGGGAGGACUUGUGAUUAUUUCUAGGGUGUACUGAUGAUCUAAUGUAUAGCUAUUAAAAAUAGUCAAAAUUAUACCAUAGCUAUACUGUAUGAAGUGAAAUUAAAUAACUGAAAAUAAAAAUGCAUAUGCCUUUCAAUGUAGCAAUCUCGAAUUCAUAUCUUUUUUUUUUUUAGGAUACCUAACAAUGCACAG